UGAAAGACAUGGGUAGUGAGAUGACCUGUUCUAGCAUCUCACUACCUUGUCUUUGACG
rnacentral:pre_miRNA from 1 species